rnacentral:rRNA from 1 species
UACAGAGGGUGCGAGCGUUAAUCGGAAUUACUGGGCGUAAAGCGUGCGUAGACGGCUAUCUAAGUCGGGUGUGAAAGCCCCGGGCUCAACCUGGGAAUUGCAUUCGAGACUGAAUAGCUAGGGUACGGUAGAGGGAAGUGGAAUUUCCGGUGUAGCGGUGAAAUGCGUAGAUAUCGGAAGGAACAUCAGUGGCGAGAGCGACUUCCUGGACCAGUACCGACGUUCAGGCACGAAAGCGUGGGGAGCAAACAGG